UACGUAGGGGGCAAGCGUUGUCCGGAUUUAUUGGGCGUAAAGAGCGUGUAGGCGGCCAAACAGGUCAGCUGUGAAAACUCGAGGCUCAACCUCGAGACGUCGGUUGAAACCGUUUGGCUAGAGUCCGGAAGAGGAGAGUGGAAUUCCCGGUGUAGCGGUGAAAUGCGCAGAUAUCGGGAAGAACACCAAUGGCGAAAGCAGCUCUCUGGGACGGUACUGACGCUGAGACGCGAAAGCGUGGGGAGCGAACAGG
rnacentral:rRNA from 1 species